UAACUGAUCGAAAGAUCAGCUAAUACCGCAUGAGACCUGAGGGUGAAAGCGGGGGAUCGCAAGACCUCGCGCGACAGGAGCGGCCGAUGUCUGAUUAGCUAGUUGGUGAGAUAAAAGCUUACCAAGGCGACGAUCAGUAGCUGGUCUGAGAGGAUGAUCAGCCACAUUGGGACUGAGACACGGCCCAGACUCCUACGGGAGGCAGCAUG
rnacentral:rRNA from 1 species